rnacentral:rRNA from 1 species
GAUCAACGCUGGCGGCGUGCCUAGUACAUGCAAGUCGAGCGAACGGACGAGAAGCUUGCUUUUCUGAUGUUAGCGGCGGACGGGUGAGUAACACGUGGAUAACCUACCUAUAAGACUGGGAUAACUUCGGGAAACCGGAGCUAAUACCGGAUAAUAUUUUGAACCGCAUGGUUCAAAAGUGAAAGACGGUCUUGCUGUCACUUAUAGAUGGAUCCGCGCUGCAUUAGCUAGUUGGUAAGGUAACGGCUUACCAAGGCAACGAUGCAUAGCCGACCUGAGAGGGUGAUCGGCCACACUGGAACUGAGACACGGUCCAGACUCCUACGGGAGGCAGCAGUAGGGAAUCUUCCGCAAAGGGCGAAAGCCUGACGGAGCAACGCCGCGUGAGUGAUGAAGGUCUUCGGAUCGUAAAACUCUGUUAUUAGGGAAGAACAUAUGUGUAAGUAACUGUGCACAUCUUGACGGUACCUAAUCAGAAAGCCACGGCUAACUACGUG